CGAUGCAUAGCCGACCUGAGAGGGUGAUCGGCCACACUGGAACUGAGACACGGUCCAGACUCCUACGGGAGGCAGCAGUAGGGAAUCUUCCGCAAUGGGCGAAAGCCUGACGGAGCAACGCCGCGUGAGUGAUGAAGGUCUUCGGAUCGUAAAACUCUGUUAUUAGGGAAGAACAUAUGUGUAAGUAACUGUGCACAUCUUGACGGUACCUAAUCAGAAAGCCACGGCUAACUACGUGCCAGCAGCCGCGGUAAUACGUAGGUGGCAAGCGUUAUCCGGAAUUAUUGGGCGUAAAGCGCGCGUAGGCGGUUUUUUAAGUCUGAUGUGAAAGCCCACGGCUCAACCGUGGAGGGUCAUUGGAAACUGGAAAACUUGAGUGCAGAAGAGGAAAGUGGAAUUCCAUGUGUAGCGGUGAAAUGCGCAGAGAUAUGGAGGAACACCAGUGGCGAAGGCGACUUUCUGGUCUGUAACUGACGCUGAUGUGCGAAAGCGUGGGGAUCAAACAGGAUUAGAUACCCUGGUAGUCCACGCCGUAAACGAUGAGUGCUAAGUGUUAGGGGGUUUCCGCCCCUUAGUGCUGCAGCUAACGCAUUAAGCACUCCGCCUGGGGAGU
rnacentral:rRNA from 1 species